GCUAGCUCGCGCUGCCUGAACAUGGUUGUUGUCUCAACAUGGAGGGUCUCAGUUACUGCUUCAGAGCCGUUCCUGCCUGCCUGCUGACAUGCUUCACUCUGUGAUGGUUGUGGACUCUCUGGAACGGUUCUAGGGAUCAAAGUUGGAUCCUCAAUUGAGCCUUCUCCCCAGCCCCAGGGAGAGAGAGAGAGAGAGAGAGAGAGACAGAGACACAGAGAGACAGAGACACAUACACAGAGAGACAGAGACAGAGAGACCAAGAAGAGACCAAGAAGAGAUGUGGAUCAGUCAUCCUUCCCAGGCAGAAAUUUGAAGUGACAUCCUCUGUGGCUGCCGGAAAGAGAGCACUUCCGGUUGGGAAGGGGUCUUCCUGGACAGAGAGCAGAAGAGCGGCUUCUGUUCCCAGCGGGAGACUCUCUGCCGGCCUGCCUCCCCUCAUCCCCACCCUCUCCCUGCAGAGGAGGCUCAUUUCCCAGGAGUGUUCCCAUGAGUUCAUUUCCAAGGCCAAACGCCUUUUCUGCACAGAUCCUUUUUAUUGCCAUGGAGACAAUCUGCAGCUCCGACCAAUCACAAGUUUGAGCAGCGGGCACCAUGACAACCUGUGGGGGCUGGAAAGAGCUCCAGAGCACCUCAAAGACCAAAGCCAAGACAGCAAUGCAAUCUGGAGAGGCAGCGAUUCUCACAAGGGCGGGGCGGGGCGGGGAAGGGCAUUCGCCUUCCUCCGAGAGCGAGCUGGUGCUCUGCGGGUCACAGCCGGCCUGGUGGGCCGAGGUCUUGGACUGCCAAGGCCAGUCAGCUUCAUUUAGUCUGAUUUCAUGUCGUCCUUUUCUCUGGCUAGGUCAGCUAAUAGAAACCCGGAGAUACGGCAGAGAAAGGUCAGAUGACUCUGGGGUGGGCCAGAAGCAGUGUUCCCCUAGGAGAUCACCCACAACUACUUGUUGCCAGCUUGAAGCUGGAAUAUCUGCCCUAGCUCAUCAGCAGCACUUAUUUGUAGUAGGGGGUCAGAAGCCUGUCACAUCCUCCCUCGCAGAGCUCAUCACUGCCUCCCGCCUGCUGGAGUCUGCCCAACAAGGGUGGACCUGGUGACUUCUGUGUUACUCCGCAGCUGCUUCUGGCUCAGAGCUGGCUAGGAGCCUUGCCUACCCGUUCCUCCUCGGCUUUCCUGCUAUUCCUCCAUCCUUCGACCCUGGGCUUUCUGACAUGGUCUCUUACAUUACUCUGUGGUCUAUAUCCUCUACCCAGAAGGGUCAAAGGGCAACAAAGUGGUACCGAGAUCUGCUUGUUUAUGAGUGGCUUAGGAGAGGCACAGACAUGACCAAAGGCCUUUGUCCUGCUGGGGCCGUUCUCAUGAAGACCGCCUCUCAGAAGCAGCAAGUGACCUACAUGUGUGUCCCUCACAGUGAACCUAAUGGCUGAAUUUUGACAACAGACAAAAGUCACAUCUCGCUUGUCUGGAGGGCCGUUCCACUUUGCUUUUUCUGUUGCUACGAUAAUCACUAUGAUCAAAAGCGACUAGGGGAGAAAAGCCCUGCCCUACACAGGUCGCAAGCCACCACUGAGGGAAGUUAGGGAAGAAACUCAGGGCUGGAACUAGGAGGCAGGAACCAGGGAGGAAGUCUGUUUGCUGGGUGUCUUAGUUCGGUUUUUAUUGCUGUGAAGGGUCAUCAUGACCAUGACAACUCUUAUAAAAGAAAACAUGUAACUGGGGAUGGCCUACAGUCUCAGAGCUUUAGUCCCUAUCGUCAUGGCAGGAAGCAUGGCUGUAUCCAGUUAGCCAUGAUGCUGGAGGCACAGCCACAAGCAGCAGGAGGUGACUGUGUGCCACACUGGGCGUGGCUUGAGCAUAGGAAAUCUCAGAGCCGGCCCUCACAGAGACACACUUCCUCCAGCAAGGCCACAUCUCCCAGUGGGCCAAGCACAGGAGUCUAUGGGGGCCAUUCCUAUUCAAACACCCACCACACUGGGCUCACUCUCUCAUCUCAUGCUCAGUCGGCUCUCUUAUACAGCUCGGCCAGCCAGCAUCAAUCAUCCAUCAGGAUAGUCUCUCACAGAUCUGAAUGCAGGCCAAUCAGAUCUAAGCAAGUCCUUCUUCCCAGGUGACCCCAACAAGAAAAGCUAACAAGUAUAUAUAUGGCUCAGCCUACAACUCGGCUUUCUUUUUUAAAAAAAUUAAAAAAAAUAUGUGUAUGAGUGUUUUGCUUGAAUGUACGUCUGUGUAUCGCAUGUAUGCCUGGCUCACAGAGGCCAAAAUGUGUGUGUCUGGUCCCCUGAAAAUGGAGAUACAGACAAGGAAUCAAACUCAGGUUCUCUGGAAUUGCAGCCAGGGCUCUUAACCACUGAGGCAUUUCUCCAGCCCCAGCUCAGUUUUCUUACGUGUAAAAUGGGAAGAAACUCUUAAGGCUGUUAAGGGCAUGAAGUGAGUGGGUGCAUGGGCCUGAGUUAGGGUCUAUCUUGGUUGCUAUGACGAGUUCUCCUACACAGCACGAAGCCACACCCCACCAUUCGUUCAUUCUCUGUAAGCAACCCACUCCCAGGGCCUUUGCUGAUCCUUCAACCUCGGGGCUGAGGAGCAGCCUCUGCCUGCCCUUGUCUGUGUGCGUGGACUAUUGCGUGUUCGGGUAUCAUCAUCCUGUCCUACCCCAGCAUGAUGCACCUCUUGCUGCUUCCCAGCUGGUGGGCUCUCACCUCACCCACCUGGAUGGACAGCAUCUCCCAGGCCUUCUUUAUAGUGGGGGUUUGCUCCUCUGCUCUGAUUUCGGUCUCACUGGCUCCUCCAUGUUCUGUCUCCCAUCACAGAACACAAACCCCUGGCUCCUAGCCGCUGACCCUGUAGGUUGCAUAUAGCCGAGACAUCAGUUGUUUGUACAGAGCUCUGUCUGCUGGUCUUGCCUUCUUGUCUGCCACUUCUAACAAUUCCUCCUAGUACAGCGUCCUCUGUAGGAUGUUAUAAGAGCACCUACCUAUGGGAUGUGGUGAGCGUUAAGAUGCUGCCUUUGAGGCUCUCCAUAUAGAGCCUGGAAUAAGGCAACCCAUCCAUUGUGCUCAUUUUCAUUUUAUGUAUUUAUUUGGUGGCGGUGGUGGGAAUCAGGGUCUUACUGAGUAGCUUUGGCUGCCCUGGAACCCAUCAGGUAUCUGGCUGUGCCGGAACUUGUAGAGAUCCAUCCCUGUUUCCUAACUGCUGAGAUUAAAGGUGCAUGCCACCACGCCUGGCCUUGGUAGGUGUCAUGUCCCUCACGGAUUUUUAUGUUGGAACUCCGUUUCUCGAUGCAGUGAACUGUGGAAGUGAGGUAGUCCUUGGGCUGUCUUUGGGUAGAGGAAGUCUUGAUGGCUAAUUCCCUGUGGGAUGAAAGUACUAGCGUCAUCCCUCCUCUGUGAGGAUAUAGCAAGCUGUCUGUGUGGCAGUAAGAGGACUCUUCACCAAGAAUCCAGCCAUGCCUGUACCCUGAUCUCACUUCUGGCUUCCAGAAUUAC